CAUUCGCUGACCUCUUUCUUCCAUUUCGCUCCGAUGCCAUUGCCAGUUGAAGCUCACCAUUUCCACAUGCAAAUAGUGCCUUCACUCUCAGCUCUCUACAGAUUUUCUCCUCUUCCUCUUCCCACCGGAGCUCUCCGAUUCUCGUUCAACAGUCAGUUUGUUAGCGCCAUUCGAAAUUUCUCUCCCAACCGUCUUGCAGCAGCAGCAGCUGGUUUUUCUGGAAAUCGGAGCUCGAUUGGUGACCUUCCUCCUGUGGUGCUAGACAGUCUCAGAGUAUUGCAAUGGGACCAGCUCUGUGAUAGCGUCGCUUCCUUCGCUGGGACUUCCCUCGGCAAACAAGCUACAAAGGAUGAACUCUGGAAUUUGGAUAAGACAUAUGAAGAUAGUGUAAGGCUGCUGCAGGAGACAAAUGCAGCUGUGGAGAUGAACAACUAUGGUGCCAUGAUGGAUUUCACUGGCAUGGACGUUGCUUUGGUGGAAUCUGGCAUAAGAUGUGCCCGUAGGGGUUUUCCUGUCAGUGGAAAUGAAGCAACAGCACUUCUUUCUCUGCUAAAAUAUUCAGAAGCCUUGCAAUUAAAUGUCAAAUCUGCAAUUAAGGAAGAUUCCUAUUGGUUUAAAAGGUUUAUGCCUCUAUCCGAAAUGGUUAUUGAGUUAGUUAUAAAUCAGCGUCUGGUUAAGCUUAUAGAACAACUUGUUGACGAAGAUGGUUCUGUAAAAGAUUCUGCGAGUUCGGACUUGAGAAGGGCACGUGAUCAAGUGCGAUCUACUGAAAGAAAGUUAUACCAGUUGUUGGAAAGCAUUAGAAAUGAAACAAAAGAAGCACCCUCUCUGGAAAUAUGUGAUAUUGAUGGCAGAUGGUGCCUAAAGACAGUGACUGCUACAUACCCAAGUUUUGAGGGACUAUUGCUUUCAAGUGGUUCUGGAAUGGGAAACCUUGUAGAACCACUCUCUGCUGUGUCCCUUAAUGAUGAGCUGCAACAAGCAAGGGCCUCAGUGGCAAAGGCUGAGACCGAGGUGCUCUUAAGGAUAACGAAGAAGAUGCAAGAGGAUCUUGGUGAUAUUGAAGAUUUAUUUAACAUAAUGAUUCGAAUUGACAUGAUUAACGCCAGAGCAAAAUAUAGUCUUUCAUUUGGGGGUGCCUAUCCUGAUUUGUAUUUACUUGAAGACAAAAAUAGCAAUGUUAGCCAUCAAUCAGCAGAAGAAGACAAAAACCCAUUAGGUUCACAAUCAUCUCAGAAGAAGUGGAGUUUGUAUUUGCCUAGGGCUUAUCAUCCGUUAUUGCUUCAACAGCAUCGUUACAAUGUAAAAAUGACCAUGAAGGAUCUCAGUAAUGCAAAUGCUGAACUCAGGAGGAAAAAACAGCAAGGUAAAUAUGCAAAAUGGGCAGAACAGAUAGAUUCAAACAUAUCAUCUUUGCAAAUGCAGGUUGACGUGUUGAAACAAACCCCUCCUGUUCCCUUUGAUAUAUUUAUAGCUAUGGAUACAAGAGUUGUUGUUAUAACUGGACCAAAUACUGGAGGCAAAACAAUUUGCCUGAAGACGGUGGGGUUGGCUGCUAUGAUGGCGAAAUCAGGUCUCUAUAUAUUGGCAUCAGAACCAGCAAGGAUUCCCUGGUUUGAUUUUGUACUUGCCGAUAUUGGUGAUGAACAGUCACUUUCUCAAUCUUUAUCUACCUUUUCAGGCCAUCUGAAACAAAUCAGUGAGAUUAAGAGCCUUUCAACAAAACUCUCUUUGGUGCUUCUGGAUGAGGUAGGUGCAGGGACGAAUCCUCUAGAAGGAGCUGCUCUGGGGAUGUCAUUGCUGGAAUCUUUUGCUGAGUCUGGUUCCUUGUUGACAAUAGCUACUACACAUCAUGGAGAACUCAAAUCUCUUAAAUAUAGCAACUCUACCUUUGAAAAUGCUUGCAUGGAGUUUGAUGAAGUGAACUUAAAGCCCACCUACAAGAUCCUUUGGGGAGUCCCAGGGCGCUCAAAUGCAAUCAAUAUUGCUGAGAGACUUGGUCUGCCUGUCGAAAUAUUGGAUGGUGCACGUGAACUAUAUGGGGCAGCUAGUGCAGAAAUCAAUGAGAUUAUAGUUGAUAUGGAGAGGUUCAAACAGGAUUGCCAUAAAAAUGUUCAUGAAGCCGAGCACUACCUGAGGCUCUCAAAGGAACUUCAUCAAAGUUUGCUUUUAAGGCGAAAGAGGGUCAUGGAACAGAGCAGCAAGAAAAGAUACAGGAUGAUUCAAGAAAUAUCCAAUGCAGCAGCUUCAGCACGUUCCAUCAUUCAUAAGAAAGUGCGGGAAGCUCGAUUGCUUCCUACUCAACCAUCCAAUCAAAUAAAAUCAGAUUUGGAGGAGCGUACUUCAGUACACAUUCAUCAUGCCAAGGCUGAAGAACAUGAAACCUCAGCAGUUACUGAGGCCACACUUCCCUUGGAUCAUACAAAGCAAUCAAAGCCAGAAAAGAAAACAAAACUUCCAAAGGUCGGUGACAUGGUGAAUGUUCCUUCACUCCAUAAGAGAGCAACAGUUUUGAAAUUGGAUCUAUCCAAAGAUGAAAUAGUAGUCCAAGCUGGUAACUUGAAGUUGAAGUUGAAAUUGGCUGAUGUUGCAGCCUGAUGGGAUAAGAGUUUCCGCCUGCUCAGAUGCAAAACAGACUAUUAUCUCAAUGAAUUGCAAUCUUCAAAUUGGACAUUUGUACAGGAAUUGGCUCAAUCUCAAUCAAAGGGAAACGGUACAACUAUGUUGUUUUGAAGUAGCAUUUAGUCGGUCAUUAUUUCUAUUGUGUUACCAUCACAAAGCCUGUUUCCCUGAAAAGGUACACAUCAUCAGACAAUAUGAAAUAGCAGGUGAUGUAUUUGCCAUUUCUCAUGAAAUUUAUAUAUGAAUGGAUAAGUAGCUUUAGUCUUAGUUAUCGAUGGGCUCUGAUUGAGGGCCUGUUGUGUGGAACCAUGUCAGCGCAUCUUAAGGUAAUAUCCGUCGUCUCUAGUGAUUUUUAUAAGUCCUCUCUGUUCCAGUGCUUGGUUUCUUCAUCCAAGCAAUAGUAGCAAUCUUGUAAGUCUGUUUACUUCUCCUUGCCCAUUGAUACAAUAUCUACCCCUUCAUGAAAGCUAGGAUCACUGGUAAUUUUCUGCAUAGAAGCUCAAAUAAAUCAACCCCAUAGCUGUACACAUCAUCAUAUGUAUACAUUCUCUGAAAUAGGCAACUGUAUAUGUGGUUUACCCGGUGCUAUGUAUCAUUAAAAUCCAAUUUUGCUGCUCCAAAGUCUCCUAUAUUGGGUUCCAUUUUGUUGCCUAACAAUAUGUUUAGCUAUAAAUAAUAUGCCUGAAAUCUUGUUUCUUAGAAGAUCAAUCACUUAUGGUUUUCUCCAGAGACAGAACAUGGCAGGAGCUUUUUCUUAGCUUUAACUAAACCAGGAGUGAUGUUCUUUCUUCCCCAGCCCUGAUGGAACCUCCUAAGACAGAAUUUACGACAGGUUUGUUAUGUUACUAAUAAUCCCUCAUGGUAUUUUAUGAAUAUAUAUAUAUAUCUAUAUAUUCAUAAACUGGCAGCUCCUCAAGAGAGGUCGAUCUUCCUAUGCAGUGAGUUAGUUGAUGAAUAUAUUAAGUAAUUUUAGGGUGUUUUCAUUUUUAGUCUGGGUUAUAUUUUUGUAUGUAAAUAAUGUUUUAUGUGAUAUCUUACUCGAAAAUAUAUAUAUAUAUUUUUA